rnacentral:piRNA from 1 species
GUCUUGCAAAAGCUGUUCUUUGGGA